GGGUAUUAUGCUAAGUGAAAUAAGUCAAUCAGAGAAAGACAAUUAUCAUAUGAUCUCUCUGAUAUGAGGGACUUGAGAGGCAAGGCGGGGGGCAGUUGGGACGUAGGGAAGGAAAAAAAUGAAACAAGAUGGGAUCAGGAAGGAGACAAACCUUAAGAGACUCU